GACAAUCUACCCAAAGGUCUGGGAUAACCCCGGGAAACUGGGGAUAAUACCGGAUAACAAUACUGGAAUGGUUUGUAAAUGUAAAGCCUUUGGAUGGGUCUGCGGCGGAUUAGGUUGACGCGGUGUAACGUACCGCGUGCCUGUCAUCCGUACGGGUUGUGGGAGCAAGAGCCCGGAGAUGGAUCUGAGACAGAAUCCAGGCCCUACGGGGCGCAGCAGGCGCGAAAACUCUACAAUGCAGCAAUGCGAUAGGGGGACAUCGAGUGGCACCACUGGGUGCCUGUCCACGUCUAAAAAACGUUGUAGCAAGGGCCGGGUAAGACCGGUGCCAGCCGCCGCGGUAAUACCGGCGGCUCGAGUGGUGGCCGAUAUUAUUGAGUCUAAAGGGUCCGUAGCCGGCUUUCAAGUCCCCGGGAAAUCCGCGGCUUAACGUGGGA
rnacentral:rRNA from 1 species